UGGGGAAUAUUGCACAAUGGGGGAAACCCUGAUGCAGCGACGCCGCGUGAACGAAGAAGGUAUUCGUAUCGUAAAGUUCUGUCCUAUGGGAAGAUAAUGACAGUACCAUAGAAGAAAGCUCCGGCUAAAUACGUGCCAGCAGCCGCGGUAAUACGUAUGGAGCGAGCGUUGUACGGAAUUAUUGGGCGUAAAGGGUACGCAGGCGGGUUAAUAAGUCGAAUGUUAAAGAUCGGGGCUCAACCCCGUAAAGCAUUGGAAACUGAUAAACUUGAGUAGUGGAGAGGAAAGUGGAAUUCCUAGUGUAGUGGUGAAAUACGUAGAUAUUAGGAGGAAUACCAGUAGCGAAGGCGACUUUCUGGACACAAACUGACGCUGAGGUACGAAAGCGUGGGGAGCAAACAGG
rnacentral:rRNA from 1 species